rnacentral:rRNA from 1 species
UACGAAGGGGGCUAGCGUUGCUCGGAAUUACUGGGCGUAAAGGGCGCGUAGGCGGACAGUUAAGUCAGAGGUGAAAGCCCCGGGCUUAACUUGGGAAUUGCGCUCGAAACUACUUUGCUGGAGUGUGGCAGAGGAAGGUGGAAUUCCACGUGUAGCGGUGAAAUGCGUAGAGAUGUGGAGGAACACCAAUGGCGAAGGCAGCCUUCUGGGCCAACACUGACGCUCAUGCACGAAAGCGUGGGGAGCAAACAGG